rnacentral:rRNA from 1 species
CGAAAGCCUGACGCAGCGACGCCGCGUGGGGGAAGACGGCCUUCGGGUUGUAAACCUCUUUCGACAGGGACGAAGCCACUCGGGUUAAUAGCCCAGAGGGUGACGGUACCUGCAGAAGAAGCUCCGGCUAACUUCGUGCCAGGCAGCCGCGGUAAUACGAAGGGAGCAAGCGUUGUCCGGAUUUAUUGGGCGUAAAGAGCGUGUAGGCGGCCAGACAGGUCCGUUGUGAAAACUGGAGGCUUAACCUCCAGACGUCGAUGGAAACCGUUUGGCUAGAGUCCGGAAGAGGAGAGUGGAAUUCCUGGUGUAGCGGUGAAAUGCGCAGAUAUCAGGAAGAACACCCGUGGCUAAGGCGGCUCUCUAGUACGGUACUGACGCUGAGACGCGAAAGCGUGGGGAGCGAACAGGAUUAGAUACCCUGGUAGUCCACGCCGUAAACGAUGGGUGCUAGGUGUGGGGGGUGUCGACUCCCUCCGUGCCGAAGCUAACGCAUUAAGCACCCCGCCUGGGGAGUACGGCCGCAAGGCUA